UACGUAGGGCGCAAGCGUUAUCCGGAAUUAUUGGGCGUAAAGAGCUCGUAGGCGGUUUGUCGCGUCUGCCGUGAAAGUCCGGGGCUCAACUCCGGAUCUGCGGUGGGUACGGGCAGACUAGAGUGAUGUAGGGGAGACUGGAAUUCCUGGUGUAGCGGUGAAAUGCGCAGAUAUCAGGAGGAACACCGAUGGCAAAGGCAGGUCUCUGGGCAUUAACUGACGCUGAGGAGCGAAAGCAUGGGGAGCGAACAGG
rnacentral:rRNA from 1 species